GGAGAGAAGUUUCAUAGGAGGAAAGAUCUCUACAAAAUUAGAAACGAAGUUCAUGUCCCCAGCUUCCAGGCUGCUUGUCAGGAACACAAAAGGUGGCAUGUGAUAGCGAUGUAGGUUGUGAGUUUAGGAGAAAAUCACAGAGGGGCCAAGGAGAGAAGAUGCCAUGGGUUAAAACGCAAGACAAAUCAAACAAGAAAAACCAACGAGGGGGAGAGAAAAGGGUCAGGCAUCAGGAUUCAUUACAUGUCCUUGAAAACAUGAGAAUAAGUCAAGAGGAUGAUUCAACAUAGAAAAAACAUGGCAGCAGGGAUGUAAAGAGAGGAGACCGAGCAGAGCAGAGAAAUAGGGAGUACUCAGAGAAACAACAAUCGGACAUACUAAAAGUGUGACUGUCAACAGCAGAGAGUUUUAUGGAAGACAUCUUUUCAUGCCUCCAGUUGGAUGAGGUUUCAAUCUGUAGUCCAGUCCAUCACCUUCCUAUUUCUCACAGAAAAAAACAUGAAAUGAAGAAAAAAAAAAGAGUCUUCAUAGGUUCCCAGGGUUUCUGAGCCAAGACACGCCAGCAUGCUGAAGAAAACAGAUAACAAACUUUCAAAGGAAGGUCAAAAGAAGUAGGAAAUUUAUUAUUAUA
rnacentral:lncRNA from 1 species